GGGAAGUCUACCAUGAACGGGAAGUCUACCAUGAACCUAAAACACAAAUAUGUGGAACUUAUUUAUUAAAUAGGUGAGUCUCACCAUAUAUCAUGUGUCUUUAAGAGCUUAAUUAACAUUAUUAAGUCAUGAUUUACAUCUAAGUGAAAGUAAAUUAGCUUCAACACCUAAAAGUUGAGUUUCUGUCCUGUGGUAUAGUACCAAAAGUAUUGGUCAUAGGGCUUAUCCUAUCUGCGGGAAGCGGAUCGUCUCGGUGAUGGCCUUUCGAGUUUUGCAUUCUUAUCACUCACUGAAUCACCCUGAAUCACUGGCGGCUUUGUUUGAUAAAUAUCAGAUAUAGAAUCCAAAUCAGUUCCUCUAUCCAUUGAUGUAUGAGCAAUCUGAAUCUGAUGAUCACCUUUGAAAAGAUGAUCAUCUUGAGGUCCAAGACAGGUUGGCGCUGAUCCCAGUUCUUGCAAACGAAGGUCAUCAGGCCAGAUUAAAAGGCUCUUGCCGCUACCAUUGUAAGGGCUAGACCUCUUCUUUCCCAAGCAAAUAUUGUCAUUAUUUGGCAUGAACGCAUCAAUUGAUGGUGGCCUUUCCAUGUUGUGUUGCAUAUCAAGUUGGUCACCUCCAUAAAUGUUAAGGUCUUGAAAUGGUGAGAAAUUUAGAGGACCAAAAUCUUUCAUCCCACCCCCCAUAUCAGGAACUCCUUGAUUUCCAAUGCCUUUGUUGCUUCCUGAGGCCAUGUUUUCAUUUGCAAGUGUUUGGUAAGCUUUCUCUAGCAUAUUUUGCAUGUAUUUCCCAUGAGAUUCAAUCCUUAAUUGAAGAUGUCUUUGUACAUCUAAUUGUUCGUGCAAUCUUCUUUGCACCUCCAUUUGCAUCCUAAUCGCAUCAACCAUGUGUGAGUUACUGGAUUUUCACAGGUAUAUUUGACAAGAAAAUCCGAUACCACCAACCACAAACAAGAAUGAAAAUACCAACUUAGGUAAUUCUUUAUGUUGUUAUUUAUUUUUAAAUGAAUGGCUUUCAAUGACUUGUUUACUCUAUAAAAAAAAUAAAUAAAUAAAUCGACGUAAUACUUACUCGUUCAUACUUCUGCUCAUCAUGACAGAAGACGAUCCACCACUUCGUUGAAGAUCUAAUGCUGGAGCAUCCUUGAUUGAGUGAUCAUUGAAUUCCUUGUGAGGUUGCUUUCCAAGUCUGAAUUUCUGAAGAUGGCUUUUGAGGUGGUAAAGGGUAAGACCCUUCACACCCAUAACUCUCAUGAUUGUCUUUGGUGUGGCUUCUGCAAAUUUUCAGCAAACAUAGAAGAGAAAAUACGUUGGAACCCAGUUGAAGCUAGAUGAAUAAAAGAAAAAUAAGAAGAGGAAAGAAGGAAGCAAUCCAUCAACUGAAGAAUUAAACAAGUGAUCAAUCUCAAAACAGAUGAAAUGGAAUCGACGAAAAAGAGACAUAGGGAAAAUUCAGUACUAUCAGGUCCUCCAAGUUGAGCAACAGCAUCGACAAAGCGUUCAUGAAGUUCAACUGUCCAACGCAGACGAGGCUUAGGGUCAGUGGUUAGGACAAGACCAGAGUCCCCUUGAACACACAUUGGCCUAUCAUGGGAAUUCAUGGUUGAGGGUUUCUUUGUAUGGAACAUUCUCUCUCUCUCUCUCUCUCU
rnacentral:misc_RNA from 1 species